rnacentral:ncRNA from 1 species
AUAAAGUUUGAUUCUUGCUUUGAGUUUAAUUUUUUUAUUAUUUUACAUGUAAGGUUUUAUUCGUGAUUUGUAUGUAUUCUAAAUGGACAUGUAUUAUUUAAUUCGCAGUGAUUUAUUCUAUAUAUUUAUUUUGGUAUGAUUUGUUAAUUAAUUAUUUUUAUGAUAAAUUUUGUGCCAGCAUUCGCGGUUAUACAAUUAUAAUUUAUUAAAUUUUAUAUCUUUUAGUUAAUCAUUAAUAUUUGGUUAAAAAAAUUAAUUAAUUGGGUGAAAUUUUUAUUUAUUAUUUAUAUCUUUAUUUAUAUGUGUUUCUGAGAAAUUUUUGGUUUAAACUAGGAUUAGAUACCCUAUUAUUGAAAAUGUAAAUAUUAAUUAGAUUGAUUAUUAUUAGUUAUGGUCUUGAAAUUUAAAGAAUUUGGCGGUAAUUAAGUCUUUUUAGAGGAACCUGUUUUUUAAUUGAUAGUCCACGAUUGAUUUUACUUUAAUUAUACUUGUAUAUCUCUGUCAUUGAAUGUAUUAUUAGAUUUUAUUUUCUUUAUUUUAUUGUUAAAUUAAUGUUAGGUCAAGGUGCAGUUUAUGUUAAAGUUAAAGUGGGUUACGUUAUUAUUAUUUUGGAUAUUUGUUUGUAAUUAAUUUAAUUGAUAUUGGAUUUAAAGGUAAUUUUAAUUAGGAAAAUUAUUUUGAUUAUUAGCUCUUAGUUAUGUACAUAUUGCCCGUCACUCUCAUUAAUUUGAGAAAAGUCGUAACAAAGUAGUUUUACCGGAAGGUGAAUCUAGAAAGAAUGUAAAU